GAUGAACGCUGGCGGCGUGCUUAACACAUGCAAGUCGAACGAAGCACUUUAUUUGAUUUCCUUCGGGACUGAUUAUUUUGUGACUGAGUGGCGGACGGGUGAGUAACGCGUGGGUAACCUGCCUUGUACAGGGGGAUAACAGUUGGAAACGGCUGCUAAUACCGCAUAAGCGCACAGCAUCGCAUGAUGCAGUGUGAAAAACUCCGGUGGUAUAAGAUGGACCCGCGUUGGAUUAGCUAGUUGGUGAGGUAACGGCCCACCAAGGCGACGAUCCAUAGCCGACCUGAGAGGGUGACCGGCCACAUUGGGACUGAGACACGGCCCAAACUCCUACGGGAGGCAGCAGUGGGGAAUAUUGCACAAUGGGCGAAAGCCUGAUGCAGCGACGCCGCGUGAGCGAAGAAGUUUUUCGGUAUGUAAAGCUCUAUCAGCAGGGAAGAUAAUGACGGUACCUGACUAAGAAGCACCGGCUAAAUACGUG
rnacentral:rRNA from 1 species